CUAGCAAGUUGAAUGAUCGCUGAGCAUAUAAAUUAUUUGUGUGCUUAGAGGAAAGUCCGAACACUCUUUUCCCGCUUUUAGCGGGAUCAAAAAAGAUAGCAGCUAACAGCUGUCCGCCGUAAGGCGCGAGGUGCGACCAGAGACGACCGAGCGCGAAAGCGCAAGGAAGUCCCGCAAAAUGCGGGACGAGUCCAGAAAGUAAUUUCUGGGGUGAAACGGCUAAAUCCUUAUCGGGUGCAAGAGUAAACCAAGAGUUCUGUGUUUUAUCAUAGGACGCUUGUGAAAAGUAACUCGCCUAGACAGAUGAUCAUUUUAAAACAAAAUUCGGCUUACGGACUUGCUAGGAUA
rnacentral:RNase_P_RNA from 2 species